AUUGAACGCUGGCGGCAGGCCUAACACAUGCAAGUCGAGCGGACGAAGGGAGCUUGCUCCUGGAUUCAGCGGCGGACGGGUGAGUAAUGCCUAGGAAUCUGCCUGGUAGCGGGGGAUAACGUCCGGAAACGGGCGCUAAUAUCGCAUACGUCCUGAGGGAGAAAGUGGGGGAUCUUCGGACCUCACGCUAUCAGAUGAGCCUAGGUCGGAUUAGCUAGUUGGUGGGGUAAAGGCCUACCAAGGCGACGAUCCGUAACUGGUCUGAGAGGAUGAUCAGUCACAUUGGAACUGAGACACGGUCCAGACUCCUACGGGAGGCAGCAGUGGGGAAUCUUGCGCGAGGGGGGAAAGCCUGAUCCAGCCAUGCCGGGUGUGUGAUGAAGGUCUUCGGAUUGGAAAGCGCUUUAAGUUGGGAGGAAGUGCAGUAAUUUAAUACCUUGCUAUUUUGACGUUACCAACAGAAUAAGCACCGGCUAACUUCGUG
rnacentral:rRNA from 1 species